CAGAAGCAUAUGUUAAUGUUGCUGCAGUUAAAACGCUCGUAGUUGGAUGUGCUGGCAGGGGUGGUUGCUGUGUUGGACGGAAGUUCGAUGCGGCGGGCCGCUGUCAUAACAUUUGGGCCAUUUGUUAAGUCAGGUGGUCCUAUUUUACCUUGAAAAAAUAUUACUGCUCAAAGUAUGUCUUACGACAAUGUGAUUUCAGCAUGGGAUAAUGGAAAACGGGCCUGCAUGAUAGCGGGCCAAUGGUUAAUGAGGACGAUUGUGGAAGUUCAUAUUUACACGUCAGAGGUGAAAUUCUUGGAUUGUGUAAAGAUGAACCUCAGCGAAGGCAUUCUUCAAGGACGUGCCUGUCAA
rnacentral:rRNA from 1 species